CCCUCUGCUAGCCAUAUCACUCACACAACGAGCAAAGCUAAACCUUCCUACGUUCAACGAACACCAGAGGAAAUGGUUUUCCGGCGAGAGAAGGGCCUAUGCUAUAACUGCGAUGAAAAGUGGAACGCUAAUCAUCGAUGCAAAAGGCAAGUAAUGUUGUUCAUCGCCGAUGAGCAAUUGCCGCUACCAGAGACUGUCGAGCUAGGACCUGAGGGGGAGCAGGUUGCAAUUGUUAGCGAACACACAGAAUCCCCGUCUGAUAUCGGCUGCUUUCAUACAUAAGCCUCCAUGCGUUAU
rnacentral:misc_RNA from 1 species